rnacentral:rRNA from 1 species
AUACGUAGGGGGCGAGCGUUGUCCGGAAUGAUUGGGCGUAAAGGGCGCGUAGGCGGCCCGGUAAGUCUGGAGUGAAAGUCCUGCUUUCAAGGUGGGAAUUGCUUUGGAUACUGCCGCGCUUGAGUGCAGGAGAGGUUAUCGGAAUUCCCGGUGUAGCGGUGAAAUGCGUAGAGAUCGGGAGGAACACCAGUGGCGAAGGCGGGUAACUGGACUGCAACUGACGCUGAGGCGCGAAAGUGUGGGGAGCAAACAGGAUUAGAUACCCUGGUAGUCCACGCUGUAAACGAUGAAUACUAGGUGUGGGGGGACUGACCCCCUCCGUGCCGCAGUUAACACAAUAAGUAUUCCACCUGGGGAGUACGAUCGCAAGAUUGAAACUCAAAUGAAUUGACGGGG